rnacentral:rRNA from 1 species
GAUGAACGCUAGCUGGAGGCUUAAUACAUGCAAGUCGAGCGGGAUUGGUAGCAAUACCAUGAGAGCGGCGCACGGGCGAGUAACGCGUACACGACCUACCUCUGACAGGGGGAUAGCCCUGGGAAACUGGGAUUAAUACCGCAUAUUAUUCUGAUUAAUAAAGGAUUGGAAUGAAAGCUGAGGCGGUCAGAGAUGGGUGUGCGUCUGAUUAGCUAGUUGGUAGGUAACGGCCUACCAAGGCGAUGAUCAGUAGGGGGCGUGAGAGCGUGGUCCCCCACACGGGUACUGAGACACGGACCCGACUCCUACGGGAGGCAGCAGUAAGGAAUAUUGGUCAAUGGGCGAAAGCCUGAACCAGCCAUCCAGCGUGCAGGAAGAAGGCCCUAUGGGUUGUAAACUGCUUUUAUCAGGGAAGAAACCUCUGGAUUUACUCCGGAGCUGACGGUACCUGAAGAAUAAGCACCGGCUAACUCCGUGCCAGCAG